GAGUGAACGCUGGCGGUAGGCCUAACACAUGCAAGUCGAACGGCAGCACAGUAAGAGCUUGCUCUUACGGGUGGCGAGUGGCGGACGGGUGAGGAAUACAUCGGAAUCUACUUUUUCGUGGGGGAUAACGUAGGGAAACUUACGCUAAUACCGCAUACGACCUACGGGUGAAAGCAGGGGAUCUUCGGACCUUGCGCGAUUGAAUGAGCCGAUGUCGGAUUAGCUAGUUGGCGGGGUAAAGGCCCACCAAGGCGACGAUCCGUAGCUGGUCUGAGAGGGUGAUCAGCCACACUGGAACUGAGACACGGUCCAGACUCCUACGGGAGGCAGCAGUGGGGAAUAUUGGACAAUGGGCGCAAGCCUGAUCCAGCCAUACCGCGUGGGUGAAGAAGGCCUUCGGGUUGUAAAGCCCUUUUGUUGGGAAAGAAAAGCAGCAGGUUAAUACCCCGCUGUUCUGACGGUACCCAAAGAAUAAGCACCGGCUAACUACGUG
rnacentral:rRNA from 1 species